ensembl:lncRNA
GGAGGAGACAAAGAGAAAGAGAAAUAGAAGUAGAAGGAGGAGGAGGAGAUUUAUUCACAUCUACAAUGUUCCAGAUAUUCUACUAGUUAUUUUCACCAAUUUCAGGAAGACAAAAUUAAAUUUAAGUGUCAUGUAAACCUCAGGACAAUUUUAUAAUGUAGAUCUUGCUAUUCCUGUCUUACAGAUAAGAAACUGAGUUUCAGUGAGGAGAAAUGAUUAUUAGCCCAAGCCCCAGUGUAAGUGAUAAAGCUACAAUUUCAACCUCAGAUGGGCCUCUCAGGCUGCUGUCCCAUACCCUUGGAUCUGUGAAGAAAGAAGCGAGGGCUUCAGUGAUUUGAGACCAGACUUCACCUGCUCUUGAGGUUCAUGGAGAGGCUGAGGUCCAGGGAUGUGAAAUGUGUGGUCCCAAGCUGGUGGCAGGGCUGCACUGAGAACCAGUUAAGAGAUGACCCACUGGUUGAGUGGGACUUGUGAAGGAAAAGGUGUUCCAUGGAGUGAUUGCUGGCCAAAGGGGAGACCUGAAGUUGAGCUUGAGACUCAGCUGGCCUCCCACCUUCCCUCUCAACAGUCUUGCUCUGGCCGCAGAAGUCUCACCGCUCUACAUCCGCCGUGGUCUCUCCAGCCCCCAUGCCUCGACUAUACACUUGGCCUGGAAUCCUGAUUCCUAUUCUGCCUAGUGAAAUGCCCCUCAUCAUGGAUGUUGCACCUCUCCUAAGUGUAAAAGGAAUGGAGGCAAGGCUUUGGACCUGAUGUCUAACUCCCUUCUAGCCCAGGGAGUGUCUACUGCUUUCCGGUGGAUGCUGGGGGCUAAGCUACACCAGCCCCAAGAGCACAUAUCUGGGCUCAGGGGAUAUUUGUGCUGCCAUCACCCAGGGCUGUUCUCUCUUUGCUUCUUUGGAGGAUGUGCUUUGAGACAAGAUGGACCAGUGCUCAGAGGCCGUAUCUACCCAUUUCCUAACUAUGCAAUUUUGGGUCUCUGAAGGCCUGUUUUAGGGCCUCAGUAAAAUGGGACUGCUAGGUACCAUCUCAUUGAGGAAGAAAAGGUGGCAGGAAGGGAAGGGAUAGCAGGGAGGGAAGGGAAGACAAGGAGACCAUGCUUGUGAAAGUUGCCUGACAAAGGGUAGAGGCCUGGCCCUGCUGUCCGCUAGCCUUCUGCUGAGUGUGGCCCUGGUAUCUCUCAUUUCUUGUGUCCUCCAUUCUACUUUUGACUCAUAAAGCCAAAGGCUUCGUUCAUUCUUUUGAAAACUUUUCUAGCGAUUUCUUACCUAGAAUUUUUCUAAAAGUACAAACAUUUCUCUCUAAUCCUGCCCUUUUACUCUCUCUUGGUCCUCUGUGCUGCAAUCCACAGGCCCUGAGCCCAUCAGCUCCAUAGAAGGAGCACCAGCAGAACCCUCCCAUGCUCUCAGGGCUGGGUUACUCUGCCCAGCA